AUGCGCAGUGCCCUAGCGGCUGAGGAGCGAAGCGAUUUGGCAGGCGCUAGAGCAGACGGCGGACGGCCGGGGCAUUCUCAGCUGCGCUAUUCUCGCUGCCGCGCGCACGGCAGGCCUUCCUAACAUAUUGACAUCGAAAUUUGGCGCGAUGCCAAUGUCGUGUGUCGCGUACGGCUGCAGUUCACGUGACAGUCCCAGCAGGACAGUGCGGUUUUUCCGAUUUCCGUCGGUAAAACGAGAUCGACAGCGCCGUGAAGCCUGGAUUAGGGCAGUGAAGCGGCAAGAUGCGCAAGGACGUCCAUGGCAGCCGUCAGCAGCAUCUCGACUCUGCGGGAAGCACUUUGUGACAGGGGCACCUUCACUGUCACCCAGACAUCCGGACUUCAUACCGACGCUGUUCGUGUAUACAGACCAGUUCAGAAAGAAGGACGCGGUCGACCGCCAUGUUCGUACCGCGGCGCGUUCCAAGAGGAAAACAGGCGCUCCACCAACAGCAGGUGCAGACUCUUCAUUCGACGAGGAAGGAGCAGCUGAUGCACUCUUGCUGCUUGCAACAUCCCCAAUGCUCACUGAGCCACAGGAGGUCCUAGAGCCAACGCCCUUAAGCAGAGAGGAGAACACUGACCACCUAUUAACUGAAAAUGUGGCAUUACAACGGAAAGUCAGGGACCUAGAACUGCAAUGCAGAAAGCUAAAACGCUGCACGUUUUCUGUGGAUACUAUUCACAAAUCGUCUUUUAAGUUUUAUACAGGACUGCAAAGUAAGGAACAGUUUGAAGCACUCUUUAAGCACAUUGAAAAAAAUGCAGAACGCAUGGUUUAUUGGGAUGGAGGAAAAACACAAGCAAAGGAAAGACAGCUCUCCAAGCGCGAAGAACUUUUCAUGGUGCUGUAUAGGCUCAGGACUGGUGUUUGUGCCAAGGAAGUGGCUCGAAUCUUUGGAAUUUCUCAGUCAUGCCUUAGUCGCAUCUUUUGUACAUGGGUAAUUUUUCUUGAUAAAGAGCUCUCAGCGUUGACAAGGUUUCCCACAUUA